UACGUAGGCAGCGAGCGUUGUUCGGAGUUACUGGGCGUAAAGGGUGUGUAGGCGGUUUUCUGAGUUUGGUGUGAAAUCUCCCGGCUUAACCGGGAGGGUGCGCCGAAAACUGGGAGACUAGAGUGCGGGAUGGGAGAGUAGAAUUCCUGGUGUAGCGGUGAAAUGCGUAGAUAUCGGGAGGAACACCUGAGGCGAAGGCGGGCUACUGGGCCGAUACUGACGCUGAGGCGCGAAAGCCAGGGGAGCAAACGGG
rnacentral:rRNA from 1 species